UCGGGAAUUUUGGGCAAUGGGCGAAAGCCUGACCCAGCAACGCCGCGUGAAGGAUGAAGUAUUUCGGUAUGUAAACUUCGAAAGAAUGGGAAGAAUAAAUGACGGUACCAUUUAUAAGCUCCGGCUAACUACGUGCCAGCAGCCGCGGUAAUACGUAGGGAGCAAGCGUUGUUCGGAUUUACUGGGCGUAAAGGGCGCGUAGGCGGCGUGUUAAGUCAGCUGUGAAAUCUCUGAGCUCAACUCAGAACGGCCAGCUGAUACUGAUGUGCUAGAGUGCAGAAGGGGCAACCGGAAUUCUUGGUGUAGCGGUGAAAUGCGUAGAUAUCAAGAGGAACACCUGAGGCGAAGGCGGGUUGCUGGGCUGACACUGACGCUGAGGCGCGAAAGCCAGGGGAGCAAACG
rnacentral:rRNA from 1 species